rnacentral:lncRNA from 1 species
GCGGUGACGGUGACAACAGCCCCACGAUGACCCCGAGGGACAACACCCGGCGCUUCGCGUCACCCGCGCCGAUGUCACCCUUCGAGCGUCACCCAUUUGUCACCCGUUUCAUUGUCACCAUUUUGUCACCCCUUCAGUGUCACCCUACUACCAUCACCCGCUUGUCACCCUUUCGGUGUCACCAUUUUGUCACCCGUUUCGCGACCACCAUUUUGUCACCCUUUUGGUGUCACCAUUUUACUGUCACCCAUUUGUCACCAUUUUGUCACCCCUUCCAUGUCACCCUCCUACUGUCACCCGCUUGUCACCCCUUCGGUGUCACCAUUUUCCUGUCACCCUUUCGGUGUCACCAUUUUGUCACCCGUUUCGCGACCACCAUUUUGUCACCCUUUUGGUGUCACCAUUUUGUCACCCUUUCCGUGUCACCCUUUCGGUGUCACCCAAUUGUCACCAUUUUGUCACCCCUUCCAUGUCACCCUCCUACCGUCACCCGCUUGUCACCCUUUCAGUGGCACCCUUUUCCUGUCACCCAUUUCAGUGUUACCCUCUUGGUGUCACCAUUUUGUCACCUUUUCCAUGUCACCCUUCUACCGUUACCCGCUUGUCACCCUUUCGGUGUCACCCUUUUCCUGUCACCCGUUUCAGUGUCACCCUUUUGUCACCCUUUCGGUGUCACCAUUUUGUCACCCGUUUCGCGACCACCAUUUUGUCACCCGUUUCGCAACCACCAUUUUGUCACCCUUUUGUCACCUUUUUGGUGUCACCAUUUUACUGUCACCCAUUUGUCACCAUUUUGUCACCCUUUCCGUGUCACCCUUCUACCGACACCCGCUUGUCAUCUUUUUGGUGUCACCGUUUUCCUGUCACCCAUUUCAGUGUCACCAUUUUGUCACCCCUUCAGUGUCACCCUUCUACCGUCACCCGCUUGUCACCCUUUCGGUGUCACCAUUUUCUUGUCACCAUUUUGUCACCCCUUCAGUGUCACCCUUUCAUUGUCACCGUUUCGGUGUCACCAUUUUGUCACCCAUCCGUGUCACUAUUCUACCAUCACCCAUUUGUCACCCACUUUGGUGUCACCAUUUUGUCACCCUUUCACUGUCACCAUUUCGGUGUCACCCACUUGUCACCAUUUUGUCACCCCUUCAGUGUCACCCACUUGUCACCAUUUUGUCACCCGUUCGUGUCACCCUUUCACUGUCACCGUUUCGGUGUCACCCAUUUGUCACCAUUUUGUCACCGUCCCGUUGUCCCUCGCCGCCACCUGUGGAAGCCACACCCGGAGCUCAGCCAUCACCCCAAAUCCCCCAUUUCUCACCCCAAAAACGGUGUCCCCAUGUCGGAGCGGCACCCGGAGGACGGCGGUGUCACCUCUGUCCCCUCCACGGGGCCGUCCCCGUGUCCCUCUCCCUCCGGUUCUUACGUGGGGGGGCACCGGUGGCCACC